UGAUAUUGAUUUGUUUACCACGAAAUAACCGAACCACGCAUAGGGGAGAGACGAGCGCAGCCGCAGUGCCCGCACGUGGCCGCCGCGAUCUCCGUCUCCCUCGCCAUCUCCACCGCCUCCGUUUCUUCACCCUCCUCCUCUCUCGGUUCGUCUCAAUUCUUUUCUCAUAGAAUACAUCGACAGAUGAAUCCAUUCUGCUGCGCCUCCCCCGUCCCCGUCUCUCCCGUCGCCGCGGCCGCCUCCGCUUUCUCCUCUUCCGCAGCUACUCAUUCCCUCCCAGCCCUGCCCCCUCCUCCGCCUCCCCCUCCCCCGCCGCCCUCCUCCUCGGCGGCCGCCGGCCGCAGCCGCGACUCCUUUCCGCACCAGAACCAUAUCAACAACGGCGGCUCCUGCCGGCCAUCGGGCCCCGCCGGCGCCGCUGCCAGCGACCACGGCCGCCACCACCGCGCAUCUGGCCCAGCGCCGGAGAUCUUGGCCUCUGCCUCCCUUCGCUCUUCCUUCCAUGACGCUCCCCUCGAGCACCGCGAGGUCCGUCUCAACAACAUCGUGGGCAACGGGAUCGCUGGGAUUCUUCACAAGUGGGUCAAUUACGGCAAGGGCUGGCGGCCGCGCUGGUUCGUGCUCCAGGACGGCGUCCUCUCCUACUACAAGAUCCACGGCCCGGACCGCAUCGAGGUCAGCCAGGAAUCCGAGAAGGGCUCCAAGGUCAUUGGCGAGGAGUCUAUCCGCCGGAUCUCCCGCCGCAAGAACGGCCGUACCCACCUCCCCCGCAAGCCCAUCGGCGAAGUCCACCUCAAGGUUUCAUCGAUUCGGGAGAGUAGAUCAGAUGAUAAGAGGUUCUCCAUCUUUACCGGGACCAGGAGACUUCAUCUGAGGGCAGAGACGCGGGAGGAUCGGGUGGCAUGGAUGGAGUCGCUGCAGGCGGUAAAGGAUAUGUUUCCGAGGAAUUCAAACGGUGAGUUCACGGGAUCGGUGGACAAAGUGGUGGUGUCUACGGAUAAAUUGCGGCAGAGGCUACAGGAGGAAGGGGUGGGCGAGGCAACGAUUCAGGAAUGUGAGCAGAUCAUGAGAAGCGAAUUUGCUGCGCUGCAGAACCAGUUGAUGCUUCUUAAACAGAAUCAAAACCUCCUGGUUGACCAUCUUGGCCAAUUAGAGACAGAAAAGGUUGACUUAGAGAACACUGUGGUUGAUGAGGGUCAAAGACAAUCAAGACAAUCAAAAGAGUAUGGAUUGGCUGCUAGAUCAAGACAAGAGAAGUAUAGUGAAGAGAGUGCAAGUGAAUCUGAUUAUGACAAUGAAAAGCCUGAUGCUGCUGAGGAAGAGACUGAUGAAGAAGAUAAUACAUUUUUUGAUACACGUGAUUUUCUCUCAUCAAGUUCUUUUAAGAGCACUGAAUCUGACUUCCACAGAUCUGAAUUUGAUUCUGAUGAUGAGAAUGAUCACGGUGUUGAUUCUGUUGGUUCUAGUGAUUCUUCCAUGCAGUAUGUGGGAUAUAACUAUCCCUAUGUCAAAAGACGAAAAAAAUUGCCUGAUCCAAUUGAAAAGGAAAAAGGAGUGAGCCUCUGGUCGAUGAUUAAGGACAACAUUGGAAAGGAUCUUACCAAAGUUUGCCUUCCUGUGUAUUUCAAUGAACCACUUUCAUCCCUGCAAAAAUGUUUUGAGGACUUGGAAUAUUCUUACCUUGUUGAUCGAGCUUAUGAGUAUGGCAAAAAGGGCAAUGGUCUCAUGAGGAUGCUUAACGUUGCUGCUUUUGCUGUUUCUGGAUAUGCUUCUACGGAUGGCAGAACCUGCAAGCCCUUUAAUCCACUCCUGGGGGAAACAUACGAGGCUGAUUAUCCAGACAAAGGCCUUAGGUUCUUUUCAGAAAAGGUCAGUCAUCAUCCCAUGGUUGUUGCAUGUCAUUGUGAGGGUAAGGGAUGGAGGUUUUGGGGAGAUAGCAAUUUGAAAAGCAAGUUUUGGGGUCGCUCAAUUCAGGUUGAUCCUGUUGGUGUGCUAACCCUCGAAUUUGAUGAUGGUGAAGUUUUUCAAUGGAGCAAGGUGACAACAUCCAUUUAUAACCUUAUAUUGGGAAAACUUUAUUGUGAUCAUUAUGGUACUAUGCGAAUACAAGGAAAUCGUGAAUAUUCAUGCAAGUUAAAAUUUAAGGAGCAGUCAAUAAUAGACCGCAACCCUCAUCAGGUGCAAGGCAUAGUUCAGGAUCGCAGUGGCAAAACUGUGGCCACACUCAUUGGCAAAUGGGAUGAGAGCAUGCAUUAUGUGAAUGGAGAUUGCUCUGGAAAAGGGAAAGGAUCUGACCCGUUUUCUGAAGCCCACAUACUGUGGAAACGUAGCAAACCACCUAAAUAUCCUACCAGAUACAAUCUCACUCGUUUUGCAAUGACAAUCAAUGAACUCACUCCUGGAUUAAAGGAAAAAUUGCCACCAACAGAUUCAAGACUAAGGCCUGAUCAGAGGUGCUUGGAGAACGGGGAGUUUGAAAUGGCAAAUUCUGAGAAGUUGAGACUUGAACAGCGACAACGUCAGGCAAGAAAGAUGCAGGAAAGAGGCUGGAAACCUCGAUGGUUUGCAAAAGAUAAAGGAAGUGACAUGUACCGGUAUAUCGGUGGUUACUGGGAAGCCAGGGAAGAAGGCAAGUGGGAUGGAUGCCCUGAUAUUUUCGGCCAAGUCGCCAUUGAUCAAAUGAUCGACUAACUAGCAGUUCAAAAGGGUCAUCUGUUUGAGUAGAUUAUUACUUGUUGAAUGCAAUCUGGAGUCUGCUUAGUCGGGAUAUUGUAGAGAUCACACUGAAGAGAUAUCAUUAUUUGAUGUUGCUGUAAUUUAUUUCCUUGUGCUUGCCAUUUUACUCAUGCUUCUUGUAUUUCGUUGCAAUGCCUACACAUGAUCUAGGCUCAAGCUCUGCUCUGCUACACGGUAAGAUCCCUUACUGGUUCCUGCAGCAUUUCUUCACUCGUGCCUUGAAUUGUUUGUUCUCUUUUUUAGGAUUACUCUCUACUCUUCUUACCCUUUGCUUGACAUGUGAGCAGGAACCUGGAGGCCACAGUACUCCCUUCAGAGGGCAGAGGCUACACAGAUUCUUCAUCAUUGUCUCGCCUUCUAUGAUGAUAUCUACAGGAGAAAUGAACAGGAAAAGGUGAAGGCAGGAGGAAGAAUCAGACAGGUAACAGAUGCAAUCUCUGCUCUACAUGUCAAUGGAGACACUAUCGAGGACCUGAUCAUAAAAGAAGCAGCUCAAAGCUCGAUUAGUCUGCCACUUCAACCCAAAUCUUUUGCAAAGAUAACACGAGGAGUUUAAUAGCAAUCGAAGUUUGCUUCUGAUAAUUAGAUUUCAUGCACGCAAAGUAGAUGGUGGCAUUUACACUAUGGUGUGUAUGUAUAUAUCCCUCCUGAGAAAUUUAUUUGAUGUAUUUAUUCCUCUAUGUUUGAGCAUAUUUGUCUUGAUAAAAUUGUGGAUUUGCAUAUUUGCCUUAUAAGUGACAAAGACAUUUUUGUUUA